rnacentral:rRNA from 1 species
UACGUAGGGUGCGAGCGUUGUCCGGAAUUAUUGGGCGUAAAGGGCUCGUAGGCGGUUUGUCGCGUCGGAAGUGAAAACGCGGGGCUUAACUCUGUGCUGGCUUUCGAUACGGGCAGACUAGAGGGAUGCAGGGGAGAACGGAAUUCCUGGUGUAGCGGUGAAAUGCGCAGAUAUCAGGAGGAACACCGGUGGCGAAGGCGGUUCUCUGGGCAUUCCCUGACGCUGAGGAGCGAAAGUGUGGGGAGCGAACAGG